rnacentral:hammerhead_ribozyme from 1 species
AGCUAGCAGAUGAAUCGCAAAUAGGACGAAAUGCGCAUCCUUGCU